rnacentral:rRNA from 1 species
AGUGAACGCUGGCGGUAGGCCUAACACAUGCAAGUCGAACGGCAGCACAGUAAGAGCUUGCCCUUACGGGUGGCGAGUGGCGGACGGGUGAGGAAUACAUCGGAAUCUACUUUUUCGUGGGGGUUAACGUAGGGAAACUUACGCUAAUACCGCAUACGACCUACGGGUGAAAGCAGGGGAUCUUCGGACCUUGCGCGAUUGAAUGAGCCGAUGUCGGAUUAGCUAGUUGGCGGGGUAAAGGCCCACCAAGGCGACGAUCCGUAGCUGGUCUGAGAGGAGGGUAGGCGACAUGGGAACUGGACCACGGACCAGAGUACUACGAGAGGCAGCAGUGUGGAAUAUUAGACAGCGGGCGCGAGCCUGGUACAGCCAUAGCGCGUGGGUGAAGAAGGCCUUCCGGUUGUAAAGCCGGUUUGUUGGGAGAGAAAAGCAGCAGGUUAAUACCCCGCUGGUCUGACGGUACCGAAAGAAUAAGCACCGGCUAACUUCGUG